GAAGAACCAGCACCUGCCAACAUCAAAGAGGGGAAGACCAUUGUGGUUGGAGGGUCUGAGGGUAACGCUAAGAAACCUUGCUGCUCUUCAUCCUAGAAAAUUUGUAUUUACAUCAAUUUACACCCCUUAAUGGGAUUGCUGCCUCGGCUUCUUAUUGAUUCUUUUUAUGUUCGAACUUUCGAACUGUGUUGUCGGAUUAUUUAUUAUUUCGCAUGAGAUGUCCUAUAGUUUUUUAUGCUUUUA
rnacentral:misc_RNA from 1 species